AUCUGGAGCCCUAAGACCUGCUGUGGUCAAUGAGAAAGCAUAGACUUCCAGGCCUCAGAAAGCAUACCACAGUGGAUGCAUAUAGCUUCAUGCCUAAUUAGAGAGGACUUAAAAGAUGAUGCUAACUUUGUGCCGGUAAUAGUGUCACUGUGGUUAGGUAUGGGGUUAGGUAUGUAAUUAAGCACAGUCUUUCUGGAAAGCAUUUGACCAUGUAUAUAUAUGAGUGUGUGUGUACAUAUAUAUGUGUGUGUGUAUAUAUAUAUGUCAUAAUUAUUAAAUAAGUGUAUUAUCUUUG
rnacentral:lncRNA from 1 species